GAUGAACGCUGGCGGCGUGCCUAAUACAUGCAAGUCGAGCGAACAGACGAGGAGCUUGCUCCUCUGACGUUAGCGGCGGACGGGUGAGUAACACGUGGAUAACCUACCUAUAAGACUGGGAUAACUUCGGGAAACCGGAGCUAAUACCGGAUAAUAUAUUGAACCGCAUGGUUCAAUAGUGAAAGACGGUUUUGCUGUCACUUAUAGAUGGAUCCGCGCCGCGUUAGCUAGUUGGUAAGGUAACGGCUUACCAAGGCAACGAUGCGUAGCCGACCUGAGAGGGUGAUCGGCCACACUGGAACUGAGACACGGUCCAGACUCCUACGGGAGGCAGCAGUAGGGAAUCUUCCGCAAUGGGCGAAAGCCUGACGGAGCAACGCCGCGUGAGUGAUGAAGGUCUUCGGAUCGUAAAACUCUGUUAUUAGGGAAGAACAAAUGUGUAAGUAACUAUGCACGUCUUGACGGUACCUAAUCAGAAAGCCACGGCUAACUACG
rnacentral:rRNA from 1 species